GACGAACGCUGGCGGCGUGCCUAAUACAUGCAAGUCGAACGCAGUGGGCACGGGUGCGUAACACGUGGGUAACCUCCCAUCAGAGGGGAUAACCCUUGGCCACAGGUGCUAAACCGAUACUGAUGGAUGGACCCGCGGUGCAUUAGCUAGUUGGGGAGGUAACGGCUCACCAAGGCCACGAGGCAUAGCCGACCUGAGCGGGUGAUCGGCCACCAGGCGACUGAGACACGGUCCAGACUCCUACGGUAGGCAGCAGUAGGGAAGCUUCGGCAAUGGACGAAAGUCUGACCGAGCAACGCCGCGUGAGUGAAGAAGGUUUGCGGAUCGUAAAACUCUGUUGGUAGAGAAGCGUUAUCUAACCAGAAAGCAACGGCUAACUACGUGCCAGCAGCCGCGGUAAUAC
rnacentral:rRNA from 1 species